AUACUAGCACCUACAUCCAACACGUCCUCCCUAAGACUAUCGCUAGGCAACAUUAUCCUACAGAUUAUACCCAUGUGGGGUGCAACUACUCCAGCCCAGUGAGGAGGUAAUUCUUCUACCAUCAACUUGGAAGUGAGGGUUGUGUUUUGUUUGUGUACACGUCAAACAAACUGCAGGCAGCCGAAACAAUUACUGUCUAUCUCGAUCAAUGGACCAGCACCUAUUAGACAGGAAUUGAUUAAUUGGACCUGUCCUCAGACAAUGCUCUUGCUGUGAAUCUACUAGGGAACUUAAUUUGGAUUUCUAUUCUUUUUUGCAACACUCUCUUGUGUAUCCAAUGGGAUUGAGGUCAGGUUGUUGAGAUUUCUUCUUUGUGGAUCACUUAAUUUGGGGAUUUAGUCAAGCUAUCUUGCAGGUCAUCUGAUUUGCUGCAUUUCAGCAAUUAUUUCUAACUGUUGGAUAAGUCUGACCAACUACUCAGUCUACUGGACAUCGAUUUCCAUUUCAUUACUGACCACUAAACCAAGGAUGUAUGUAAAAAUAGGAGUUGUAGCCUGUAUUGUCUUGUUUUCAUUGAUUGGUUUGUGGAUGUCAGAGGUUGGUUUCUUCUCAAUGUUUCUCAUAGCAACAAUGGUCUUCUCCGCUAUGUUGGUAGCCAUGGGUUUUGAUCAUGCCAUGAUAGCUUACAGCAAGACUCAUGUUUCACCAGACAGAAGAGCAUCAAGACUUCCAGAUCUCAAUAAGGACCAGUAACCACAAGCAGUCCAUCCUUUUAGUUCUUGUUAGAGAUGUCUUGCAGGAAAGAUGGCUCCCAGCACCCCAGUUCAUCAACAAUUACUCUGUGACAUAUGGCUCCAUGAUAUAUGCCAUAGUAACAGUAGCUGUGGUUGUUCCUACAGCCUCAAAGCAUGACAUUCAAUAAUAAAUAUUCUGCAAAAUUUGCUCCAACAUCAAAAGCUCUGACCAAAGUUGAUGCUUACCAGUUAAGCAUUAGAGCAAAAGGAAGGACGAAGGUUUGACUGCCUUUGCAAAAGGGAUAUAGACAGUUUUGCUAUGUGGGAUAAUUUGUAGCCAUAUUAAUUUUCAUAUCUUCAAGAAUGAUCACUCGUAAGGUAUGAACAUAUUUUGCUGGCAGAUAUAAGUGCUUACAGAUUUCCAUGCACUGGUAUAAGCAAAAUAUAUUGCAAAUAACAAAAUUCAUUAGGAGGAAUAUUUAUGAUAAUCAUAAAGAAUCACAUGCCAAAUGAAUGCAUGAUGGUUGCACACACCAAAAAAAAAAAGCUAGAAUGAAACCAGAAAAUAAAAAUGCAAAUAUAUAAGAGAGCAAUAUCACAAACUUGGUUUAAAAGUUUGAAACUAAUCAAUAAAAUAUGUUGUAUAUAGUAUUUGUAAAACAAAAUUCAGUCUUCCAGGAAAAAAGGUGACUUUAAAAUUGUAGGCAAAAAAAUAUAACUUUGGCAGAAAGACUGAUCCCUAUUUCAUAGCAACAAAACAAAAUAGAUAUAUGGAAAACUAUCAGGAACAAUUGAAAUAUUCUUUUUUUUUCUAGCAAACAGAUCCACAUUUCAUAACUUUAUACAACAAUUUAUAAAAUGCAUUUUUGUGAUUUGCAGUUGUUCUGCAAUAAACUAGCAGCAAAGGCUUUUACUCACUGCUUUCUGCCCCCAAAAAAUAUUAAAUAAAAAUGGGCAUUUAAAAUGUAUGAUUAUGACUUAUAAGGCAGUAUGAACAGAAAUUAGAGAACAUCCGAUAUUAGAUAUUGCUUUAUGAUGUUAUCAAUUCAAAAGAAUAAGAUCAUAAUAAUUUUUAAUUUUACCGAUAAUUCUUGAUGACAUUAUAUAAUUGCUUGUUUCAUGGUAAAUUUGAUUAAAAGAAGCAAUUCACCUUAUUCUAACCCAAAUAAGAUUUAUGAAAUAAUAAAAUAGGAACUUAAGUAUAAUUGACAAAAACUCAAAAUGACUAACAUCAGAGUUUUCUUUUUUUACAUUCACACCAUCUAUGUUAAUUGUAAAUUCAUUACAAAAAAUGGUUUGUACAGGAUAACCAAUUUUACAGGAAAGAGUCAAGAAGAAAGAAUGUGUUCUUCAAUACGACAAAAGAUAUGUGCUUAUGAAUUAUCAAAUAUUUACUACUAAUGCCCACCCUAAAUAAAGGAGUAGAAGUUAAACCAUUAAAAGCAUUGCUUUUUUCAUGCAUAACAUUACUAGUAUAUGGAUAUACAAAGGUGCUCAAAAGUUAGUGAACCUCACCAGAAAAUGAACAAAUAUAAAUUGUUCACUUUCUACCAUAUUAUAGACAUUUAAUUGUGAAGUCAGGUGAUAAAAUAUUACAUUCAAUUAAGUUUGUUUCUCUGGGUUCGCCAAACAUAAUAGUGCUUUUUGUCUAAAUUCAACACUCAGCAUGAAUGAGUGCUUUUUUGGUGGGGUUCACCAACUUUUGAGAUUGACUGUAUGUCCCAAUGUGUGAAAAUUGUACAUUUUCAAACAUUAGCAACCAGGCACAUACAGUUCAUAAUCAAUUCACUGUAAAGAAUAAGUUGUGAUAAAUAGUAUACAAUGACCAGUUGUAUUUUGGUAACCCUUAACAAGGAGCAAAAUGAGUUGAGAAUUGAUACAUAUUUCUCAAAGCAAUUAAUGGUAAAAAUAUAACCCUUCCGUCUUCCACCAAUCAAAUUGUCAUUAGUGCUUUUAGAGCUUGAAUAAUUGUGUUUUAAAAGCAAAAAAAAAAACGUUUUCAUUUGCAUUGUAAAUACCAUGUGGUUUGUGUAACUGUCUCAAUCAAUCUUGAUAUUUAGACUGCUAUGUAUUAAAUCCUUUAUUUGUUCAGUCUUUUUCAAUAAGAUGGCAUUAAAUUCUAAGAAAUGCAUAAUGCCACUCACUUGUUGUGACAGUUUGCGAUUAUCAAUGGAGUUCUUUGAGCGAAACAUGAAUGGCCGCUUGUCUAAACAAGUAAGUUGUAACAUGUAUUCCCAUUUUUUAAAUUCAAAUUUUCAUCUACUGAUAACUUGUAUCAUUCAAAUGUUUCAUUCUGUUGCAAUUCACGCUUUAUUUUACCUUAAUUCAUAUAAAGAAGAUCAUAUCAUUAUCCUUAUCAUUAUCAACAUUCAGUUGAUAUUGAUAAAGACUAUGUAUCAUUGGCGGUCAUCCGAACCAUUGUAUCACACAAACGACAGUGCAAACCCAUUUCAGUGAAAAUCAACUUCAAAGUUCACUGUAAUUUUCACUUAGUUCCCCAGCCUUACAACAUAUUCAUUGCUAUAAAAAUACAUGGUUAGAAAGACCAAGACAAUUGCUUGACAUUGGUAUCUUUUUUUACAAAAAAAAAACCAAGGAUCAGAGAAAAUAUCGCAAAAGAGCUACAUGUACAUGCUUGUAAUUUUGGUUUGAGUGGUUUAGAUUUUCCCCAGGUACAAAAACGCCAUAGGCUAUACAACAACGCUGACCAUGAUUUCAAUGCGUCAAAACGUCAUAUCUCUUUUUCACCUGCAAACUCAAUGCAAUGCUGAUACGACGGUUUGACUGACAGCGCAUUUGCAUAUUAAGUGCAUGCAGCUGUUAUUUGCUUUGCUAUGGUACUUGUUUAAUAUGGGAUUUGCGCAUUUUAUCAACAAUUUGCAUGGCAUCGCCAUGAAAAUCCCCACAUAUCUCAGAAACUAAAAUACAUUGCUGCCUAGAAAUUUAGUUGGGAAAAGGAUAGGAAAUGUACUUUCAUUUUCUGCAAAAAUCUCAAAAUUGUUUUUUUAUACUAAAAUUGACUGAUAUGACGGUUCGAAUGAACGCCGACGAUAUGGGCAAAAUGUAAAUAUGUGUGUGGUGUAUUAAUCUUUAUAUGCACAAUAAACAAAUUACUCACAAAAAUAAAAUUGAAAUUUUUAUGAGUGUUUUGAUGAAAUAUAAUUUAUUAAACAUGGAAAAUAGCAUUAUUAUCUUUACACAUAUUCUAUAGAAAUUACAAAAUGAAAAUAGGAAAAGAUGUAUACAAUUGUAAAAGCAUAAGAAAGUAAGUGUAACUGUAUAUGGAGUUUCAGGCUAAACAUGCAAUAAAGCUAAGGUGUAGAAAUUUUAAAUGCUGCUUGUUUGUCUUAUGUACAUGGAUUGUUGUCCCAACAGUCUGCAGUUCUGCUGGUGUUGUACUUUUCAUAUACUGAAAAAACCCUUUAUUAUAAUAAAGAGAUUUGUAAAAACAUA